rnacentral:lncRNA from 1 species
AUCCUCUAUUUAUAGUACUACAUAGAGGUAUACUAAAAGAAUUCCAUAAAUAUGUCAUUAAGCUUUUGAGAUCAUGGAGGAAGAUCAUGGGGGAGAUGUGUGGGAGUUACAACCAUAACUAUUGGAGUAGUGGGAGUUAUGGAGAUAAUGGAUAAAAGUAGUGGGCGUUAUAGGAGUUAUGGACAUCCACCAUAAUCUAAUAUUUCAUAACACUCCCCCUUGGAUGUCCAAAGAUAAUGUGCCCCGUUAAAACCUUAACUAAAAUAAA